AGGAAAAAAGAAAACCAGCAAAAACCGUGUCAAACAAAAAAACUGUACAAUGGAAGAGAACAGAAAAUACUUACCAUGCAUGAUCUGGCUUAGAUUUACCAGAAUUCAAUAAAGCUGAACUAAGAAGGGAAAGAAGAAAUAAGUUUUCUGGUUCAUUUGAAAAACAAACAAAAAGAAGAUUCUGUAGGAAUGAAAGCACCUGAAGACUGGAUUGGUAUCUAAGCAAACUGCCAACUCUCCAAGACCAGAACAUAGGCAUGUGGCAGGAGCUGUAGUCUGCUUCUACAGUGAAGAUAUUUUGAAAGAAUAAAAUUAUUGCUAACAGUGUGUUUAGGAAAUCCUAUACUUCUAUGGGAACUAGCUGGCUAUCUGAGAUUUGGGAGCAGGCAUGGAAAUUUGUGCUUCUAUUUUUGAUGAUUUUCUGCUGUUUGGAAAAAAAAUUCCUGAGGACUCGAAGUUAGUUCCUCUGAUUUCCCUUCCAAAUAUUCUCUAGCCAAUACUUAUCCUACAGGGUUUUGUUGCUGCUGGUUGGUUUCGUCUUUCUCAUCUCCUCAUCCAGCACCACCAAGAAACACAUUUGUGUCUGUGUCUUGCUUGAAGUGAAAUCUGCUACAAUUUCCAUUAUCUACUGCUAUUGUGAGUUGAACAGUUUCUUAUAACUAUCCUGAAAAUAGUUACUGAGCUACUUGAUGUUAAAUUGAUGCAUCAGGUAAAAACUGAUCGUUGUGUAAUCUUCAAGCGCAUUUCUCCUCUGUUAACCUACAUGAGGCCUGGGUGUAAUAUUACUAAAAUCAGCAUUAUCUUUGGAAAUUCAUUAUAUCUGCCACAUCUUUUCAGUCCACUGAUUGUGAGGUCUAGCUUCUAGUGUGCUUGUUAUAUUUCUUGGAAAAUCAGAUUAUUUUUUUUCCUCAGUGUUUCUAUUUCAUUUAAUUCAAGCUCUCUCCAUAAAGCUUUUGAAGUAUAAAAACAAUUGCUUCUGCUCCAAGGCUAUUUACAAUGGUUUGAGGGGCCAAGGCAUCAUACAGAGACUGCUGUAAAUCCUUGCUUUUGUAGGAAUCAGAAAAUUUGCUAUACUUCCCAAAUAAAAUAAAUCCCAGAACUAUGUUAAGCUUCUGAGGUUAGACAUCCUUUCUUUUCUUUUUUUUUAAAUCAUAUUAAGACCAAAGUUAGGAGCAGAGAAAGAAGUCAGCAGUAAUAGUUUUGUUGCUUCCAUUAACACAUAGUUUAGGUGUUCUGCUUGCCAUGUAGAUUUCAGACUUGGGGACCCCAUUGAGUCCUUAGCAUUUUUGGAUCACAAGUUAUUUUCAACCAUCUCUUUUUGUGCUUAAUAUUGAUAAGACAGCUUAUUGCUUAUUUAAUUUUUACAUUUGAAGAACUGAAAGGAAACAAUUUCUGAAAUGGAGAUGAGGCAACAUGGAAUUAUGGCAGUGUAUGUACAAUCCCAUUGUGCAGCAGGCUAAGUGUACACUUAUUUGGCAUAGCAUUAAAAGACAGUCUUUUACUGAGGUAAACUUGCAUGGGUUUUUCAUGGGCUAGGAGACUCUGAUUGCUUUACUACACUUGAAGUGAAAGCCAAAACGAAGUGGCUCAAGCAAAUUUCAUUAAUCUCUUUUCACCUAAGAGGAGAUGAAGUAUUUGUCAGAAUUCUUUACUGAUUUUUUUUCACUGUAAUACUUCAAGUUAAUGAGAAGCUAAUGGAAAAGAAUGUCAGCCUCUGCAUUUGACUGAUAAAUAACAUGGCAUUUUACCACUACAAGAUCAUCAAAGUUUGUCCUCAUGGUGAAAAUAAAAUCUUGGAUUAUUUUUGAAUCAAGUCUUCAAAAAAAUAAAAAAUAAAUAAAUAAAUUACAGAGAAGAUCAAGGUGGUUGCAACAGAUAGUUGUUUUUUUUUCUUAAAUGAUGGGUGCUCUGGAGGUCACCUUGUUUAGUUCUAUAAUUUUUUUUUUUAGACAAAACAAGAAAAGCUAUUUAUUUGAGACUGAAUCGAAAACCCACUAGGGAGGGAAACAAUUGUUUUUUGAUGAAUCAUAUUCUCUUAAUACAGUGUUUUACAGGAAUUUAUAUACAGAGAAGAAUAGUAGGGAGCUCCAUGAAAUUACUGUGACAGCUGAAAUCAAAUAGCAAUAACUUUGAACAAUAUAUUUUUGCAAAAUAUUUCAUUUCAGAGCUAUGUGAUUAUACUGGGUGAAACAGUCUCAUAACUUUCAAUAUGUAAUCAGUGAACUGUUUUAAUUCAGCAUAUUUGACACCUCCAUUCUUGUUUACUAAGAGAUUACCUCUAAUUAGAGACAGCUUAAUUAAACAACCUAAUUAGCAUUAGAGUUUUGUCAAGAUUUGUAUUGCACAGUUUUUAUUGUGCACUUAUUAUUGCCAAGUCAUAGAUUAUUCCUCCUUUUUCUUUUGUGAUCCUAGGAUUAUGAACAAAACCACUGGGAAGUUAUAAGAAAGUAGAGGAGAAAAAAUGAUUUUUUUUUUUUACCUUUUCAAGUACUCAGGUUUCUGUUGUGCAUUACAAUGCAGCCUGAGACAAGAAACACGCAUUUCUGAAUAAAACCUUUUUCCUUUUAAAUGAUGAUGGGGUGGUGGUGGUUUUGUCUAAGCUUGAAGUGAAAGGAAAAAGGUAAUGACUUGCCUAAAAAAAAAAAAAAUGCUGAUCCUGACAGGAGGUUGUUAUUUUAUAAACUGAUUUAUAAAAACAGUGAAGAGUAUUGUCUUAUUUCUUGUAACAUAAAGUUGCCUAAAGCACAUUCAUCAGAUUUUCUUAACGCUAUCUGAUACUCACUCAGCAUUGGUCACUGAUACACUCAGUUUGCACUGAGUGGUGAAUUUGCUGAUGUUCAGAAUAGGUAGUUGCUGCUGGUACAGGGGGAAAAAUGUUAUGCAGGUUAUUGAUCCUGUUUUAUAUUUGAACACAGAAUUAAGUCCUUUUGUUUAAGCAUAAAGUACAAAUGUUUACCUUGGAGCCCAGUGUAAUUUUAAUUAAAACACAAAGUCAUACCUUUGAACCUCUGUGAGUUCUACCUCUGAGUAAUAUAAAAUCUCAAAAUUACAAUUCCUGUGAACAGCAGUUUGUUUUGCUCUAUUGCUAAUCUUAACAAACACACUGCAGGUUAGUCCCAUUUAUACUUCUCUGUCUGAUCUUCUUAAAAUUAAUUCUGUGAUCAGUUUUGGUCAUGUUUCAGCACCUAGCUAAUUCUGAUUAGCAUUACAAUCCAGUACAAUAAAAGCAGUUUAAUCAGGAAUUGCAAAUGAACCUUAACCAAAUCUAGUAUAAUCAGCUAUUUUGCUGACAUUGCUUCAGCAGAAGGAUUGUCAGGCACAGAAUGAAUUAGCUAUAUGUAUGAAUGGCUUUAGGACACAUUUGAUACUGAUUUAGAGGAGAAUUUGCAUAAACAGCUGUUAAAACUUAAUUAAAAAUAUAAACCCUAUAGGAUGCUUCUAGGGGCGAGCAAUCUGUUAAAUUUAAUGGUGAAGAAGUCUGUCCUCAACUAAUCCUUUCUACUUUCUCAGCCUGUUGUAAGAACAGUCUUGCAUUGAUUAUAUAUACAGUGGUUAUAGGUUCUCACCAUCAUUAUGUUUACAGUAAAUCUGAUCACUAGACCUCCAUGGUUCAGCACUUCAUUACAUUUUUUUUUAAAGAGUUGAUGAGUUUACUUUGUCAUGGAGCAUCUUCUCCUAAUUAAAAACUGCUUAGCACUGAUGAUCCAUUACAAUAAUCAUAUGUUUUACGAUGCUUGGGAGCCUGAGUUCAUUCAAUACAGCAGACUUGAAAGCAAAGAAAUAGUGUCAAGCAUUAAAGAAACCCAACAAUCUAGAUUGAUAGGCUAGUUUGAUAAGCAAUAGAUAAUGAGUCUGGGUAAAAAAAAAAAUUGUCUCAAAUAAUAACAAGAAGGUACCUCAAAUAGUAGGCUAUGAAAAUAAUUUCCUUUUCUUCCUGUCAAUCUAAAGAAAUAAAUACAAAUUCCUUAGUAAUAUUUAUGUUUUAGAUAAGACUAUUAAUCCAUCCACCUGGAGUUCUGAAUUUGGGCUGCCAAAGCAAAAUAACAAAAAGUAAAAUGCUGUAUGCAGAUGAAAUCUUGUUGCGUUUAUGGAAAAAUUCCCAAAUUCUUUAUUCAAGCCAUGUGUAGGUUAACCUUACUGUACGAAGCUUAGCUAAAUAUAUAGACAAGGAUACCGUUCAGUCUUGUGUUCUCUGGAGUUGGCAUAGAAAGGGAAGCAGAAUGCAGAUGUGAAACAUUAAUGAAAGUCAAAACAAAUUGCACCAAACUCUCCAUUAAAAUCUUCAUUGCCUCCUUCUGCCCUGUCAUUAUUAUUCCAAAAAGUUCAUCGUAAAGUCCCUUAAAAUAGAAUUUUAACAUUGACAGCAUUUUAAUGAAAUGAAGAAUACAUUUUUUACGUACAAGAAUGUUAAUAAAUGGACAUUUUAAUGGAAUUACAAAAAGUUUAAAAUAGAGUAACAUUAAGCAAUAAGCAGCCUUUUCCAAAGAAAAGACUGCUUAUCUAUUUUUAUACCACAAUCAGUAUAGAUAUUGAAGGUAUUCUACACAAUUUUAAGCAGAAAGGGUUCCAACUGUGCAAAUGGAUUUCAGAAUUUACACAGUGAAAUCCAGAAUUGAUCAAAAGAGCUGCAUUUGGACCAAAAGCUCAAAGAGAAAUACGUAAUUCUUAGUUUGUUUAUUUACUGUUUGUUAGUUUGUAAUAUAUAUUUUCUUUCCUGGAAUUUGAUUCCUCAGUGCUCUUCUGUUCUUUCUCUGAGGUUUUUCUCAUGAUCUGUACUACCUAUGUUUUUAUAUUUGUGCCUUGAUUUUUCUUAGUGUUGUGUUUCAGCUUUUUUCAUUGUUGUUUGCCUCACAACUCUUCAAGAAACAGUUUGUAGUGAAACUAAGCCUACAUGUUCUCCAUAAACACUGUGUCUGUAAUGGACAAAUCUGUCCUACCAGCUAGUUAUUAUACCAUAAAAUGAAUAAUUCCUUCUCUACUGAGCACAGAGCAACUGAUUAGCUUCCUGCUCUCCACACAAACAUUUGCAAUGAAAUUUGACACAACUGACAGCAAUAUUAACUAGUAUGCUAUUAAUGUGAAAUAGAGUAUAAAUUGUAAUGUUGAAAUGUAGUACAGAAAAGAAAGCAACUGGGUACUGAUUGACUCAUCCACUUAAGCUAUUAAAAUUUGUGGGAAUUUUUUUUCCUAUCUUUUAAUUUCAUUUUGCUAGAUAAUGAAACUUUGGUCUUUAUUUUUUCCUUACACACUGCAGUCUAAUUUCUUUGAGUUUUUAAAUAUCUUCUGCUAAUAACAAUGAACAGAUAAUUUUCUUUUUCACAUCUGUAGUAUUUAUAACAGAAUGUUUUCAUCUCAGUCUAUCAUGCUUAUUCUACAGUAGCAGAACUGAUAAUUAGGCAGACAGUCCACAUUGCUACUGCAUGAUUCUGAAGAGGAAGUUUACUUAAAUUGUUUAAGGCAUUAACUGAAUUUAGAAAUGACUUUUCAAACAUUGCUAUUUAUUAACUUUUCAAAAGUUGAAA